rnacentral:rRNA from 1 species
GACGAACCGUGCGAACGUUGUUCGGAAUCACUGGGCUUAAAGGGCGCGUAGGCGGCUUCGCAAGUCCGGGGUGAAAGCCCCCAGCUCAACUGGGGAAGUGCCUCGGAUACUGCGGAGCUUGAGGGAGGUAGGGGCGGAUGGAACUUCCGGUGGAGCGGUGAAAUGCGUUGAUAUCGGAAGGAACGCCGGUGGCAAAAGCGAUCCGCUGGCCCUCUACUGACGCUGAGGCGCGAAAGCCAGGGGAGCAAACGGG